rnacentral:misc_RNA from 1 species
AGACCCAGCACCCACACCGACUCCAACUGCGGGACCAACGUAAAUGCCGCCACCACCACCACCCAACGGCGAUGGCGCGUAGUACGGCACCGAGUAUGAAAACCCUGAACUGGACGUAUGAGGAACUGAAUAGCUUCUAGACGAUAAUGAAGAUGACUGGGAAAAAGACCUCCCACCCAUUCUCCCACCGGAGGCAGCAAAUGCACAAUUAGGGUUGUACAUCAAUAAAAGCCCCACUAA